UACGUAGGGGGCAAGCGUUAUCCGGAUUUACUGGGUGUAAAGGGAGCGUAGACGGCAAGGCAAGUCUGAUGUGAAAACCCAGGGCUUAACCCUGGGACUGCAUUGGAAACUGUCUGGCUCGAGUGCCGGAGAGGUAAGCGGAAUUCUUAGUGUAGCGGUGAAAUGCGUAGAUAUUAGGAAGAACACCAGUGGCGAAGGCGGCUUACUGGACGGUAACUGACGUUGAGGCUCGAAAGCGUGGGGAGCAAACAGG
rnacentral:rRNA from 1 species